GACGAACGCUGGCGGCGUGCCUAAUACAUGCAAGUAGAACGCUGAAGGAGGAGCUUGCUCUUCUGGAUGAGUUGCGAACGGGUGAGUAACGCGUAGGUAACCUGCCUGGUAGCGGGGGAUAACUAUUGGAAACGAUAGCUAAUACCGCAUAAUAGUAGAUGUUGCAUGACAUUUACUUGAAAGGUGCAAUUGCAUCACUACCAGAUGGACCUGCGUCGUAUUAGCUAGUUGGUGGGGUAACGGCUCACCAAGGCGACGAUACAUAGCCGACCUGAGAGGGUGAUCGGCCACACUGGGACUGAGACACGGCCCAGACUCCUACGGGAGGCAGCAGUAGGGAAUCUUCGGCAAUGGACGGAAGUCUGACCGAGCAACGCCGCGUGAGUGAAGAAGGUUUUCGGAUUGUAAAGCUCUGUUGUAAGAGAAGAACGAGUGUGGGAGUGGA
rnacentral:rRNA from 1 species